UAGGGAAUCUUCCACAAUGGGCGCAAGCCUGAUGGAGCAACGCCGCGUGAGUGAAGAAGGUCUUCGGAUCGUAAAACUCUGUUGUUAGAGAAGAACACGAGUGAGAGUAACUGUUCAUUCGAUGACGGUAUCUAACCAGCAAGUCACGGCUAACUACAUGCCAA
rnacentral:rRNA from 1 species